UGUCAAUAUUAUAUAGAUUUUAUUGAAUGGAAGCCACUAGGCUUAAUUCCAGUCUUUCAGGAAAAGUACUCUCCAUCCUGAAAACACAGAACCUGUUUGGUUUUUGUUUUCCAGAGAAACUAAUUAUGCAAAAGAGCUCCGGGAAUUCCAAAUAUUUUUGGAAGAGAAAAGCCAAUUAUUUUUGCAGGAAGUUCAAAAAAUAAGCUGUAUGUAUAAUAUCGAUAAUGAAGAUAUCAACAGAAAAGAAAAUAUAAUGGACAAGAAACACCCUGAUGAAAGUUCCACAUUUUUUUAUUUAUGGAAUAAAAGAAAACAAGAAAUGAGAAGAAAAAUCAUUUUGAAGGAGACAACAGAGAUCUUUUUGAGAGACAUUAAAAGAAUAUAUGCCAUG